rnacentral:rRNA from 1 species
AGCGUACACGGUGGAUGCCCUGGCAGUCAGAGGCGAUGAAGGACGUGCUAAUCUGCGAUAAGCGUCGGUAAGGUGAUAUGAACCGUUAUAACCGGCGAUUUCCGAAUGGGGAAACCCAGUGUGUUUCGACACACUAUCAUUAACUGAAUCCAUAGGUUAAUGAGGCGAACCGGGGGAACUGAAACAUCUAAGUACCCCGAGGAAAAGAAAUCAACCGAGAUUCCCCCAGUAGCGGCGAGCGAACGGGGAGCAGCCCAGAGCCUGAAUCAGUGUGUGUGUUAGUGGAAGCGUCUGGAAAGGCGCGCGAUACAGGGUGACAGCCCCGUACACAAAAAUGCACAUGCUGUGAGCUCGAUGAGUAGGGCGGGACACGUGGUAUCCUGUCUGAAUAUGGGGGGACCAUCCUCCAAGGCUAAAUACUCCUGACUGACCGAUAGUGAACCAGUACCGUGAGGGAAAGGCGAAAAGAACCCCGGCGAGGGGAGUGAAAAAGAACCUGAAACCGUGUACGUACAAGCAGUGGGAGCACGCUUCGGCGUGUGACUGCGUACCUUUUGUAUAAUGGGUCAGCGACUUAUAUUCUGUAGCAAGGUUAACCGAAUAGGGGAGCCGAAGGGAAACCGAGUCUUAACUGGGCGUUAAGUUGCAGGGUAUAGACCCGAAACCCGGUGAUCUAGCCAUGGGCAGGUUGAAGGUUGGGUAACACUAACUGGAGGACCGAACCGACUAAUGUUGAAAAAUUAGCGGAUGACUUGUGGCUGGGGGUGAAAGGCCAAUCAAACCGGGAGAUAGCUGGUUCUCCCCGAAAGCUAUUUAGGUAGCGCCUCGUGAAUUCAUCUCCGGGGGUAGAGCACUGUUUCGGCAAGGGGGUCAUCCCGACUUACCAACCCGAUGCAAACUGCGAAUACCGGAGAAUGUUAUCACGGGAGACACACGGCGGGUGCUAACGUCCGUCGUGAAGAGGGAAACAACCCAGACCGCCAGCUAAGGUCCCAAAGUCAUGGUUAAGUGGGAAACGAUGUGGGAAGGCCCAGACAGCCAGGAUGUUGGCUUAGAAGCAGCCAUCAUUUAAAGAAAGCGUAAUAGCUCACUGGUCGAGUCGGCCUGCGCGGAAGAUGUAACGGGGCUAAACCAUGCACCGAAGCUGCGGCAGCGACGCUGAUGCGUUGUUGGGUAGGGGAGCGUUCUGUAAGCCUGCGAAGGUGUGCUGUGAGGCAUGCUGGAGGUAUCAGAAGUGCGAAUGCUGACAUAAGUAACGAUAAAGCGGGUGAAAAGCCCGCUCGCCGGAAGACCAAGGGUUCCUGUCCAACGUUAAUCGGGGCAGGGUGAGUCGACCCCUAAGGCGAGGCCGAAAGGCGUAGUCGAUGGGAAACAGGUUAAUAUUCCUGUACUUGGUGUUACUGCGAAGGGGGGACGGAGAAGGCUAUGUUGGCCGGGCGACGGUUGUCCCGGUUUAAGCGUGUAGGCUGGUUUUCCAGGCAAAUCCGGAAAAUCAAGGCUGAGGCGUGAUGACGAGGCACUACGGUGCUGAAGCAACAAAUGCCCUGCUUCCAGGAAAAGCCUCUAAGCAUCAGGUAACAUCAAAUCGUACCCCAAACCGACACAGGUGGUCAGGUAGAGAAUACCAAGGCGCUUGAGAGAACUCGGGUGAAGGAACUAGGCAAAAUGGUGCCGUAACUUCGGGAGAAGGCACGCUGAUAUGUAGGUGAAGUCCCUCGCGGAUGGAGCUGAAAUCAGUCGAAGAUACCAGCUGGCUGCAACUGUUUAUUAAAAACACAGCACUGUGCAAACACGAAAGUGGACGUAUACGGUGUGACGCCUGCCCGGUGCCGGAAGGUUAAUUGAUGGGGUCAGCGCAAGCGAAGCUCUUGAUCGAAGCCCCGGUAAACGGCGGCCGUAACUAUAACGGUCCUAAGGUAGCGAAAUUCCUUGUCGGGUAAGUUCCGACCUGCACGAAUGGCGUAAUGAUGGCCAGGCUGUCUCCACCCGAGACUCAGUGAAAUUGAACUCGCUGUGAAGAUGCAGUGUACCCGCGGCAAGACGGAAAGACCCCGUGAACCUUUACUAUAGCUUGACACUGAACAUUGAGCCUUGAUGUGUAGGAUAGGUGGGAGGCUUAGAAGUGUGGACGCCAGUCUGCAUGGAGCCGACCUUGAAAUACCACCCUUUAAUGUUUGAUGUUCUAACGUUGACCCGUAAUCCGGGUUGCGGACAGUGUCUGGUGGGUAGUUUGACUGGGGCGGUCUCCUCCUAAAGAGUAACGGAGGAGCACGAAGGUUGGCUAAUCCUGGUCGGACAUCAGGAGGUUAGUGCAAUGGCAUAAGCCAGCUUGACUGCGAGCGUGACGGCGCGAGCAGGUGCGAAAGCAGGUCAUAGUGAUCCGGUGGUUCUGAAUGGAAGGGCCAUCGCUCAACGGAUAAAAGGUACUCCGGGGAUAACAGGCUGAUACCGCCCAAGAGUUCAUAUCGACGGCGGUGUUUGGCACCUCGAUGUCGGCUCAUCACAUCCUGGGGCUGAAGUAGGUCCCAAGGGUAUGGCUGUUCGCCAUUUAAAGUGGUACGCGAGCUGGGUUUAGAACGUCGUGAGACAGUUCGGUCCCUAUCUGCCGUGGGCGCUGGAGAACUGAGGGGGGCUGCUCCUAGUACGAGAGGACCGGAGUGGACGCAUCACUGGUGUUCGGGUUGUCAUGCCAAUGGCACUGCCCGGUAGCUAAAUGCGGAAGAGAUAAGUGCUGAAAGCAUCUAAGCACGAAACUUGCCCCGAGAUGAGUUCU